CCGCGGGAACACCGGCAGCUCUAGUGGUAACAAGUUUUAUGGGCCUAAAGCAUCCGUAGCCGGUUUAAUAAGUCUCUGGUGAAAUCCUGUAGCUUAACUGUGGGAAUUGCUGGAGAUACUAUUAGACUUGAGACCGGGAGAGGGUUAGAGGUACUCCCAGGGGUAGAGGUGAAAUUCUGUAAUCCUGGGAGGACCGCCUGUUGCGAAGGCGUCUAACUGGAACGGUUCUGACGGUGAGGGACGAAAGUUAGGGGCGCGAACCGGAUUAGAUACCCGGGUAGUCCUAACUGUAAACGAUGCGGACUUGGUGUUGGGUGGCUUUGAGCUGCUUCAGUGCCGAAGGGAAGCUGUUAAGUCCGCCGCCUGGGAAGUACGGUCGCAAGACUGAACUUAAGGAAUUGGCGGGGGAGCACCACAACGCGUGGAGCCUGCCGGUUUAAUUGGAUUCAACGCCGGACAUCUCACCAGAGGCGACAGCUGUAUGAUAGCCAGGUUGAUGACUUUGCUUGACUAGCUGAGAAGAGGUGCAUGG
rnacentral:rRNA from 1 species